AUCGAACGCUGGCGGCAUGCUUUACACAUGCAAGUCGAACGGCAGCUCUAUCUUCGGCCUUGCUGCGAGAUGCGAACGGGUUUGUAAUGCAUCGGAACGUGCCCAGUUGACGUGGCUGGCACGGCGAAAGCCGUAUUGAUACCGCAUACUACCUGAGGGUGAUAUUGGUUGUUCGAACAUCCUCGCGUGAUUGGUGCGCUCGAAGUCGGAUUAGCUAGAUGGUGGGUUAAAGGCCUACUAAGGCAGGUAUCCGUAGCUGGUCUGAGAGGACGACCAGCAACACUGGGACUGAGACACGGCCCAGACUCCUACGGGAGGAAGCAGUGGGGAAUUUUGGACAAUGGGGGCAACCCUGAUCCAGCCAUGCCGCGUGCGGGAAGAAGGCCUUCGGGUUGUAAACCGCUUUUGUUCGGGAAGAAAGCCUCUGGGCUAAUAACCCGGGGGGAUGACGGUACCGGAAGAAUAAGCACCGGCUAACUACGUG
rnacentral:rRNA from 1 species